rnacentral:rRNA from 3 species
CUUGGUCAUUUAGAGGAAGUAAAAGUCGUAACAAGGUUUCCGUAGGUGAACCUGCGGAAGGAUCAUUCACAAUGAGUGUUUUAUGGCACUCUUUAAAAAUCCAUAUCCACCUUGUGUGCAAUGUUUGUUGGGAGAGAGGCAACUCUUUCCCUUCACAAAUAUCAACCUAUAUCUUUAACAACAUUCGUCUGAUAACAUAUUAUGAAUAUACUUAAUUCAAAAUAUAACUUUCAACAACGGAUCUCUUGGCUCUCGCAUCGAUGAAGAACGCAGCGAAAUGCGAUACGUAAUGUGAAUUGCAGAAUUCAGUGAAUCAUCGAAUCUUUGAACGCAUAUUGCGCUCUUUGGUAUUCCGAAGAGCAUGCUUGUUUGAGUAUCAGUAAACACCUCAACCUCCUCUUGUUUUUUCAAAAGGAGGGUGGACUUGAGCUAUCCCAACAACCUUCACCGGUAGGCGGGCGGCUUGAAAUGCAGGUGCAGCUGGACUUUUAUCUGAGCUAAAAGCAUAUCUAUUUAGUCCUCGUCAAACAGGAUUAUUACUAUUGCUGCAGCUAACAUAAAGGAUAAUUGUCCUCAUUGCUGACUGAUGCAGGAUUUUACGACACUUUAUGUGUUGUUCAACUCGAUCUCAAAUCAAGUAAGACUACCCGCUGAACUUAAGCAUAUCAAUAAGCGGAGGA